rnacentral:rRNA from 1 species
ACGGGUGAGUAACGUCUGGGAAACUGCCCGAUGGAGGGGGAUAACUACUGGAAACGGUAGCUAAUACCGCAUAACGUCGCAAGACCAAAGUGGGGGACCUUCGGGCCUCACACCAUCGGAUGUGCCCAGAUGGGAUUAGCUAGUAGGUGGGGUAAUGGCUCACCUAGGCGACGAUCCCUAGCUGGUCUGAGAGGAUGACCAGCCACACUGGAACUGAGACACGGUCCAGACUCCUACGGGAGGCAGCAGUGGGGAAUAUUGCACAAUGGGCGCAAGCCUGAUGCAGCCAUGCCGCGUGUAUGAAGAAGGCCUUCGGGUUGUAAAGUACUUUCAGCGGGGAGGAAGGCGGUGAAGUUAAUAGCUUCACCGAUUGACGUUACCCGCAGAAGAAGCACCGGCUAACUCCGUGCCAGCAGCCGCGGUAAUACGGAGGGUGCAAGCGUUAAUCGGAAUUACUGGGCGUAAAGCGCACGCAGGCGGUCUGUCAAGUCGGAUGUGAAAUCCCCGGGCUCAACCUGGGAACUGCAUCCGAAACUGGCAGGCUUGAGUCUCGUAGAGGGGGGUAGAAUUCCAGGUGUA